UACGUAGGGAGCAAGCGUUGUCCGGAAUCAUUGGGCGUAAAGCGCGCGUAGGCGGCCCUGUAAGUCCGUUGUGAAAGUCAAAGGCUCAACCUUUGAAAGCCGAUGGAUACUGCAGGGCUAGAGUCCGGAAGAGGCGAGUGGAAUUCCUGGUGGUAGCGGUGGAAUGCGCAGAUAUCAGGAGGAACACCAAUAGCGAAGGCAGCUCGCUGGGACGGUACUGACGCUGAGGAGCGAAAGCCAGGGGAGCAAACGGG
rnacentral:rRNA from 1 species